CAAUAGCGUAUAUUAAAGUUGUUGCGGUUAAAAAGACUCGUAGUUGGAUUUCUGUUGAGGUCGGCCGGUGUGCAUUUACGUGUAUUAUCAGGUUUGGUCUUGGCAUCCUCUGAGGCACGAGGGACUUUAUUGGCUCUCGAGUUUUCAGACUUUUACUUUGAGGAAAUUAGAGUGUUCACGGCAAGCAAGCGCUUUGAAUACAUUAGCAUGGAAUAAUAAUAUAGGACCUUCGUUCUUAUUUUGUUUGGUUUCUAGAACUUGGUAAUGAUUAAUAGGACAAUGGGGCGAUUCGUAUUAACGCGUCAGAGGUGAAAUUCUUAGUAUUGCGUUACGGCGAACUACUGCG
rnacentral:rRNA from 1 species